rnacentral:lncRNA from 1 species
CCUUGACUCUGUCCUCUCCUGCCUCCAUGACUGCAGAAUCCUCUCAAUUUGCUCUCCACCUGCCAGGCACCAGCCAUUUCGGCCCACUUUAGGCAUAGCUAGAAGUUAUACUCUUUCCUACCCAUCUGAUUAGUGUUCUGAUCAAACAUUAUUCAUGGGACCUCAAUACUGAAGCAACUAGGAUAUGAGGAGGGGCUGGUUAGUUCCCUGCAUUAGUUUAUAUUUUAAAUUUUAUUUUAUGAGUAAAACCCAAAUGAAAAGUUAUAGUGAAUCUAAUAAAAGGAUGGAUUUCCAGAUAAACCUGAGGACCACCUUUAUUCAGAAGCACCAACUAAGACCUAGACACAGAAAUAACCAAUAUAUUUCUUUUUUAAAAAAAUUUUUUGGCAUAUAGUUGACUUAAAAAGUUGUGUUAGCUUCAGAUGUACAGCAAAGUAAAUAAAUUGUACAUAUACAUACAUCAUUCCUUUUCAGAUUCUUUUCCCAUAUAGGUUAUUACACAGUAGUACAUAGAUUCCCUGUGCUGUUCAGUAGGUCCUUGUUACGUAACUUUUUUAUAUAUACAGUAGUAUGUAUAUGUCAAUCCCAAUCUCCUAAUUUAUCCUUCCCCUACCACAUUUCCCCUCUGGCAACCAGAAGUUUUAUUUUGAAAUCUUUGAGUAUGUUUCUGUUUUGUAAGUUCUUUUGUAUCAUUUUUAAUUAGAUUCCACAUAUAAGCAAUAUCCGAUGUUAUUUGUCUUUCUCUGUCUGACUUCACUUAGUAAGAUUAUCUCUAGGUCCAUUCAAGUUGCUACAAAUGGCAUUAUUUCUUCCUUUUUAAUGGCUGAGUAAUAUUCCAUUGUAUAUAUGUACCACAUCUUUAUACAAUCUUAUUGAUGGCCAUUUAGGUUGCUUCCAUGUCUUGGCUAUUGUAAAGAGUGCUGCAAUGAAUGUUGGGGUCAUAUUAUCUUUUGGAAUUAUGGUUUCCUCCAGAUAUAUGCCCAGGAGUGGAAUUGUUGGGCCAUAUGGAUGACCAAUUUAUUUCUAAAACACCAUUUAAAAACUACAAAGCUGCCACACAAUGUUGCUUCUGCCUGAGUCAUAGAAUUUCAUCUCAGCCAUUUACAAUGUAUCAGGUAACAUUUAUAUAUAAAAAUAUAAAUAAUUAUUUAAUUCCCAAAGCAAUUGAAUGAGGCAGAUACUAUAAUUCCGUAUUUCUGAUGGCCAUGAGAAUUCUUUCUAAUCUCUGCUAUUGACUGACAGCCCAACCUCUGGGCCCUGAAAUCCAUCAUUGCCUUUGUUCUGGGGCCACACGAAUGUUGGUGGGAUACCAGGAUAGGUCUGAUACUAGGAGACCAGGAGCUCCUCUGACCGGCAUCUUUGACUUGAGGACUCCUCAAAAGCCUUGGUGAAUGGCUAUUACAAAUGCUCAGAUCUGCCCAGACUUCCCUCUUUCUUCCCUUUCUCCUUCACUAGGGGCCAGACAUGCCAUAACCUGAUGGAUCUCUGGCUUCAUCUACUGUUUCUCUUUCAGGUAUUUCCUUUAAUAAGUUUCUUGAAAUUUAAUAGCUUUCGGUGUCUUCUUAAAUUACUCAGACUGAUGACACUACUGCUUACACUUACCUCAAGAUUAUUGAAAUAAUUAUUUUAUUCCUCUGGGAAUCCUGAACUCAGUAAGGAUAGAUGGUUUCUGUUUCAUGAUGUCUAGGACCUCAAUGGGAACAUGAGUAGCAAGUGCUAACUGAAUAGCCAGGGGCUGGAAUCACCUGGAAGGAUCUUCACAAACUUGUGGCAAUUGCUACUGAUGUGGUCUGGGACCUCAGUUCAGGCUGUCAAUCAGAGCCUGCAUGUGUGUUCCAUGUUCACUGGGCUUCCUCACAUCAUGGGCAGCCUCAGGACUAUGGACUUUCCCAUGAAGUCUGAGGGCUCGGAAUGUGAGUGCCUCUGCAGACAAAAAAGAUGCUUCAUUGCCUUUUAGGAUGUAGACUCAAGUUACUUUUGCCAUACUCUAUUGAUCAAAGCAGUCACAGACUUGCCCAGAUUGAAUAAUAAGAGAAAUAGACCCAAACUCUCAAUGGAAAGAGUGCCAAAGAAUAAUUGGGCAAUUUAAAAACCAUCAUCCUAUUUGGAUAUCAAUUUUCCAAAUGAAGAAAGCGAGGCACGGAGAAAGGUUAUUCAUUCAGGACAAAAUAAGGCCCAGAGGUGACACCCUUAACUUCCAAACAACACUGCCUCUGGGAUACUUGAAACCCUCGCACCCAUCACAUUUAAUGCUCUCAACUGAACUGUCACCACUCACCUUUUCUCCUGAAUUAAUCUCCAAUGACAUAUAAUUCCACCUAACCAUCGACCUAAGCUAAAAACCUAAGAGUAAUCUUUGACUCACCUUCAGUCAUGAAUCUAAUCCAUCACACAGGCAUGAAUUGUUCACAACAUUUGAAACACUUACACAGUUGCACAUACUUCCAUUUGCUCUAUGGGCAGGAAAUCCACUACCACUACCCUGUACUGCCCACCCUUGGGAUCUUCUGAGUUCUUUUAGUUAUACACAGAAAACCCCCUCUGGGACCUCUAUGCCAAUGGUGCCUUAGGAGUUUAACUCUGGUGUCAUGUAAAGCCAUGGCCCCUCUUCCCAGUUUUAGAAAGUAGCUUUCUUUUUCAACCUUCUAUAUCACAAGGCCUUUACUUCCUCCCUUUCAUACCUGAGAGAGUCUGGGCACUUUUAAGAAGGUCUCAGACCUAAGGAACAAUAAAAAGUUUCUUUACCUUCUCUGGAAGGAAAAUGCUGUGUCUUCCUCACUGUAACACACAAUAAAUCUCCAAUGCAGGGUCAAAAAGUAGGACCCUAGUUACCAACUGCUGAAGUAACAGAAGCAAACACAGGGAAAGUCAUCUUUGUAAGGCUUCUUAUGGCAUUUACCUGUUUUUCCUUCUAAAUAUUCCUUAAACCAUCCCCUCUCCCCUAGUCCUGCUCUAGCACUCGAAUCUGGGUUCUCAUCACCUCUCUAUACACAAACAGCUUCCAGAUCCUCAGAACUUCCAGUGUCCCAGGACUCAAGGGCUAGUGGGAUGGAAAACACAACCUGGAAACCUCACCAUCAAUAACCCUAUGGCAAACACCAAAGCUCCACUUCUAUCUGCUUCAUGGGCUGGAUCCCCUCUUAAGAGUGCACUUGGAAAACAAACAGGCCAGUUCUGCAGCCAAAAAGAGAAGUUACAGGAAACUCCAAUCAAAACCAAAAAUUCUGCCAUGACAGGCUACUGCUGAAAGCCCUGUGAUGGUGCCCAUUGGCUCAAAAUGAAUUCCAGUGUCUUUAUGUGAUGCAAGGAUCUCCAUGGUCUGUUGCCUCCAAAGUCCAGCAUCUUCCUCUUGUGCAUCGUCUUCCAGGCAUACUGAACUGCUUGUAGUUCCCAGCAGAUGUUGUGUGAUGUUAUGGCCCUGGGUUUUUGCUCAUCCUCUCCCCUCUGCCUAGUUCUUUCUAUCUCACCCAGCUCCCAUUCAAGCUUUUACAAUCACUUUGGAUAUUAGCCCCAGCAGCAUCUGCCAGUUUAGGUGCCCAUCCUGAGUGCUCCAGAAACACUCUAUGAAUCAUGAUCACUAUUUUACAACUACCAGGGCAUAACCCUAUUUCAUCUCUAUCCUGAGAGUUUUGUAGAAACAGAGCCUGAGUUUAAUCCAUCUUUGUAUCUCUGGUGCCUUGCAGAGUGUCUGAUAGGCCGACAUACUCAGAAAACAUGGGCUGGAUGCACACAUAAAGGAUGGAGAGUGAACAAGGAGAACUUCUUCCAACAAACUGCAGCUUGCCACACCAGAGACCCAGCUCUGACUCUCAUACCACUGCAUUCUUUCAGGACCAAGGAGACUUCCUCACUCUCAACCCUACAAAAUAGAAUGUAAUCCCGGAUGAUUCACAAGGCACCUGAAUUGCUUCAGGGUCAUUAUUAUGAACAUCCAUUAUCCCAUUAGCAGCAAAGAACAGAUGCAAAAGUUAAUAGAGUUUUCUGAAUGUCAGAAUGCUGGAUAAACACAUUUUUGCUGCAUUAUAUGCCAAACGAUGCCAAAAAUGUGGAUACAUGAAGAAAGUUGGGUCUAAGCUACAAGUGCCACAGUCCCAGAAGCUGCAGAGCAGAAAAGUCCUCCAGGAUUCCUACUCUCAUCACAAAAAUCAGGCAGAAAUUGCCCCUGAGGUGCCACAAGAAAAUCCAAAUCAAGAGCCCACUAGAUGGGGAUCCAAAUACUCAAUAUGCAUUCCAGAACAUACCCCGGGAGUUUCCAAAAGCCUAGCACUGUCAUGUCAUUACUAGGAGGCUAACCUUACCCCAGCCAGCCUCUUCCCAGGGCUGUGGAAAGCCCUCCAGGAGGUUCUGGGAAAUAUUCCACCUCCCCAUGUGCCAGCAUCUAUAUCCAGCCAAGAUUCACCAUGUGCCUCUCUGGUUCUUUUAAAAUCUCUCUUUCCCAGAGCUCUUCGCCUUGCCCUUUGGUGAGAUUUCAUUGCAAUUUGAUAUGUAAUUUUUCAUUACACGUGAUUUGCUCAUUUGUAUUUUUAUUUAAAAACCAGAUUAUAUAGGCAAGCCUGUGCAUAACGGCAGUGGGUUCAUCUUAUGGAUUUUGACACAUCUGUUGUCUUCAGUAACUAUGCAAACACCGGGAAUGAGCUAUAGAGCCCAGAAAUAAUGUUUCUAUUGUGAGCUCAGGGAGUCUUGCCCUAGCUUCCUCUCUGACAAAGAGAAUUCAUCUGCAAAUUUCUUGCUGAUAAUAGAUAUUCGAAUGUGGAUAAUAGGUAUGCAGCCAGUGAAUUUGCAAAACUAGUCAUAGUGCAAUAAAAGGAAAAAUAAAUCUAGCUAUGAAAAUAAAUAUAAUGAGCCUUUUUGCAGUUAUUGAAAUUAAAUUUAAAAAAAGGAGGAAAACUGUACACACUGUGUUUGGGUGUGUAUGCAUGUCUUCGUGAGUUUCCAAACAUUAAGUGAAGGACCAAGUUCAUACACAUCUCAAGUAGCCAGUGAGAACAAUGUCCUUCAUGUGUGUUUAAUUUGCUUUGUAAAUACAAGUGUAAUUGGUAUUUAAGGGGCCUUUCUAAAUUGCCGGCGCCCCUCCAUCUGAGCAUGAGUAAUCUAAUUUUUCUGCAAAGCGUGUUGCAGUUUGACAGACAGGUCUCCAAGGACUGUCUUGCAUGACAGCAUCCGUGAAAAUGAGUUCUGAAGUAUAGUCACACCCCCCACGCACGCGUGGAAUCCCAAUCACCCACGACUCAUAGAUCCAUUUGCCCUGUGUCUUGCGGCUGAUGGAUAAUAUAUUCAUUUGCUUCUG